rnacentral:rRNA from 1 species
CUUUUGGAGCCAGCCGCCUAAGGUGGGACAGAUGAUUGGGGUGAAGUCGUAACAAGGUAGCCGUAUCGGAAGGUGCGGCUGGAUCACCUCCUUU